UUUUCUAUCUGCUGGCUUUCUGAAUGAAAUCGAUAUUCCUUUCCGCAACAUGUUGUUUCAUGAGUGAUUGCCAGCCUGUUUUGUGUCGAGCAGUACAAACUUGGACUCGGUAAAACCAGAGGGAUGGCACGGGGCCCUUCCACUGCGGCACACGGCUGUACAGAGGAGAACUCCCCUGUAUUGGCUCCUGAGAGAUACCUGCAGGCCACGAAGAAUCAACACUCACUACAGAAGCUGAUCACGUGCUGUCCGUCUCUGUGUCAGUGCAUGAGAUGAAUCUCUCUUCCAAAAGACGCCAUGGCAACAUGGAGCCAGAAUGUCACAGUUUUAUCUGACAGUAGGAGGGCAAACAAG